CAUUUUCACUCUAGCUUGCUUUAUUGAAGGAUACUGAAAGUGGAGAGAGCUUCUGCUGGUUCAUAUAUUUUACCAUUGUGGUGAUACAAGUUUGCCAUAGUUUAUUUUUUUGCGGUGUGGUUGACUUGGCAAAACUUGCAAUCCUCACAAACAUAUAUGUUGUCACAGUCUUUGUACCUGAACAUGGAACACCUCGAAUACCUUACAGUAGUUCAUCUCACCCCAAGCACCAGUGAAGUCACACUUCUCACUCAAGAACAUCAGAGCUGAGGUUAAAUUGCAACAGACAUUCCUUUUACUUUGGCAUACAUCGUGUUGCAGAGAGAGAGUACAUUUCUCCUGAUGGCACAGGGGACGUCCUCAACGACAUCGGCAACAUGCUCGCCAACUUGACGGAUGAACUUGACGCCAUGUUAGAACAAGAACUCACUCUUAAGAAUUAAGGGGAAUUGGAAAUUGAAGCUCUGUUCCUACCAGUUAUGAAAUCUAACUAAAACUUCUACUCGUUUAGAUUGUGAGUGAAUGAGUGAGGGAGGGACUGUAAGGGGAGGCUGGGAGGAAGAAAGAGUGAAGAGGCUGGGAGAUGACAUAGGGCAUGCUUGAGUGAGUGAGUGAUGUAUCAGAGUAAAAGAUGUAUGAUGUGGAGAUGUAUUGGUUAAGUUAUGAAGAAACAUCCUGUAACAGUGAUUGUAAUGAAAUCAUAGAAGAUUAUAUUUUAAAGAAAUUUAACAGCACUUACUACACUGUUAUCAUAUAAACUUGUUAGUUGGGUAUCAAACCUGCACUGAUGUGUGUGUCAUUAUUAUAUUUUAAAAGAUAUACCGUAUAUGGAGAGAGAGUACAGAUUUAGGACUUCUUUAAAAGGCUAUAGAUGCUCUUCAGGAAGCAUUCCUGCUCUCCUUGUCCCCAAAAUGGCACCAUCCGUCAUCACUCUUUUGACUGCAGGAUAAUGUCCUAGAUCUCAACUUUUAGAUGUAAGUGAUUUCAUUGAUGCAACUGUUGAGGCUCAUAAAACCACAAGAUUAUAUUUUCUUUCUUUUCUGUUGUUCUUUUUGAAUAAUGUAGGUCUCUGCUAUGGUUAGUCAGUGAAAUGGAGAAGACUAUGGCCAUGUAGUAAUUAUAGAAUAAAAAUGUGUUGUACAGAAACAAGGCAGUUGGAAUGAGAACUGAGAUUCAAAAAAGUUUGCCUUAUGAAUUCAGUAUAUAUUAGUGUGGUGAAUCAAGGCUAAUCUGUUAAGUAAAUUGCACAAGUACUUAUGUGAUUUACAAGUGACUGUAUUGUAGAUUGCACCAAAUUUAUUUUGAUGUAAAAGAAUAUCUUAUUAUAAAGUUUCUGUAUUGAUAAUAUGUAAAGGGUAGUUGGAACCAUAUUUUUGCCCUCGGGCUCACUGCGCUAUGAUAAUCCACAUGCCCACCAAAGGCACAUCAGCGUCGAUGUGGUUAGACUUAACUUGUGGUGUAUGUUGUACGUAUGUAUAUUAGAUGAAACAAUCAUAUAUACCAGGAGAUAAAAGGAGUGGAACUUCUCCAAUAUAUCAUAAUUAAACCAAAACCAGAGGUUUCAGAAGCAAAAUAUUGCCAAGAAAUGUGUGGUAGUUCUUGAUAUCAUUGUUUGCAUUUUCUUGGAAGUAACAAAUGGGGGAUGCAGAACAUAGUUCCUUGAAAGUUAUCAAAUCUUGCUUAGAAAAUCUGUACUUAUUCAUAUACAUGGAUUUAUUGCUGCAAUCUCUCUUUUUUUCUUUCUUUUUUCUUUUUUUUUUACCAACCCAAUAGUUUACUGAAGAUAAAUAUAUAUUUCUGAAAUAUAGUGUAUUUACAUUUUUGUUCUGUAUUACUGGUUGCUGUGUAUUAUGAAGUGAUAUGAAUCUUGUUACAGGGGUAGAGAGAAAAACAAAACAAAAGCAAAAAUAUUUUGUUUAAUUACACUGUAAAUAUCUUGUACAGAAUCUGUAAAUAUCUAGGGAUAAUACUGUGUGUGGGUUUCAACUUUAUCCAAAAACCAGAUGGAAGUCAAAGUGAAAUCUGAUGGAAUUUUGUUUCCUGUCCACUCAGAAGAGAAGGCCUUUGUUUACAAGACUAGAGUUAUACUAUCACUUUCUAUGCUUGCUUCUAUGAUCUUUCUGCAUAGGGUUUUCAAUCUGUUACCAGUCUCAUUGAGCUUUUGCAUUAUGAAAAGUUCACAUCGAGGAUAUAUGCCAUUUUAGCUUAUACUUGAUACUAGAAGGAGAAGAUCCCAAACAUGCAGGUCACGGGGUAGCUCAGGCAGGGGGUAGCUCAGGGGGGGCGCAGCUGAAUCUGAGUCUGAGGAAGAGGAGGGGUUAAGCUUGCAGUAUAAUCACAGGAAUGUUCCAAAAGAUAUGGAUUAUCAGUGUGAAUUUGACUGUUCUGUGGAUUUUGUUUGUAAACAAUACUUUUGUGAUAAAUGUUUAUUUGAAAAUUGAAAGGAUGAAGUUAACAUAGCAAGUUUUCUAUUAUGCUAGCUGUAUGACCAGACAAUGUAGAAGGCAUUCUCAGUUAGUCAAUAGCCUACAGCCUCUAAGAAAGAAGGGGCUUAAAAGUGCACAGCCAUAUGCAUACACAUACAUAAACCUAUAUAGAAUUUUGAGCUCAGAAUUACCUGUGAACACUAUGUAAUAAUAGGCUGUUUGUAUGGUAGUUAGCCUACUAGAAUGUCAGGAGGAAUCAUGCAAUAUUGAGCACUGGACGGGAUUAACGAGUCCUUUGAUGUUAAGCGACGUUGCAUGUCUUCAUGAACAUUUUUCUCUUAUGUAUGCUAUUAUACCCCACUUAUAUAGUAGAGUUGUCUUUGGUCUGUAAGAAAUGCCAAAUAGUGGGACAGUUAAAGCAGAAAGAUUGGCAAAGCUGUGUUUGAUAGUCAUUGCAAGUUAAAACACAAAUGUAUUUCAUAUUUCCUUGGUGUGAUCUGAACUUUUUGAGUUUUGGAAAGCAACUUUAUAUGUUUCUUGGGAGUUAUCAUAAGUGAUAUUUCACUUGUUUACAACAUUAAGGUAGCAGUUUAUAGGAGGCUUAUUUUUUGUAUAGUAUGUACAAUAUAUAUAUAAAUCUGCCAAUUUUGUGUUGAGUAUUGACAUCUAGCCAUCAUAUUUUCCAUGCUGUUGUCAGCUGUCUUUUUCAUUACUGUAUGUAUAUCAUAUACCUUAAUAUUGAAUAUUGAAGAAGUAUAAUCUUUAGUGUUUUUAGA